AGUAUAAACUUUGAAGACGAAAAUUUUGGCCAGCGGAAAGGUCUGUGUUUGUUAUUGUUUUGGUAACUCCGCCGUAGGCUUUGUGCUGUUCCGAUUUAUAAGAUACGAAAAGCAGAACACUAAAUUGUUGGAGAGAGAAUAGGAAACGUAAUAUACAUUGACAUUACGGGAGUUAAUCACUGAAGCGUUUAACGAUGAGACGUGCUAAAAGCAGAAAGUGACAUGCAGCUAAACAGUAGAUACUGUGAGAGAAUUGCAUUUGCAAAACAUGAUACUGAAGUAGCAGGAACACAUCGCAAAUUCAGUAGUACCACAACAGAAUGACUACAGGAGCGAAAUGUACACCUCGCCACUCUAAAUUGGGGCCCAGCUCAUCGCCAGACUGCAGAACAACAUCUCUGUGAAAUAGGAUACCCUAGACCAUAUCUAAGCUCUUAUGAUGCGUGAUGCUUACAGAAACAUCCGCCAGAUUGUCACAAGCUAUUAACGUUGGUGACUGGGCUGAGGAUGCUGUUUUGAUCAAUACUGACCCACAUCUCAUUUUGGACAAUCCCCACACCUCCCCAAACUUGAACUCCAAAUGCUCCACAAAAAACUGAGGCUUCAUCGUCAUGAAAGAUUGCCCAUCAGCUCUCGAACAUACAAGGUACCGUGGCGAAUAAGUUCCACUGCCAUCCUUAGCCUGAUGUUCCUUCCAUGGUGUGGCCAAGGAGGGGAACGAUUUGGGGUUGCACUUCUGUGCGUUGAAUUGAACUUGUCAUUGCUUAAAGACAUCUAAUGUUUCACCACCACCAACAAGAGAUGAUGUACUACGCUUCAUUGUCUGUCAUUCUCCCUGGUGCCACCCACCCAGACCAGGGGCACAACCCACAGGUGCCACGUAGCCACAGCAAAGGCAACCUGGCAGGACUGCCAUUGCCGGGAGCAGAGUGAUACCUGUGCGGUCAGGGAGCUACAACCAACACGGUACAUAGCGGCCCCACCACAACGGACUGGCUACCGUGCUGGAUAUCAGGUGCAAAGAAAUCCAUGGUCAUCGUCGACACAGAAAGUGACACUGCACAAUGCAUGGUGGAAAACACAUCCAGGAAGGUGUCCUCACCCAAGAGAUGGGGAAUGAGCUGGACUGAGAUGCGACAAUGAGGAAGUGGGCUAUAGAUUUCAAUGCACGAUGGACAUUAUGCACCAUGUAAGGCUCCCUUCCCCAAUUGGCUUGAUCUUUGGGAAAAUUUUGAAGAAUGGAGUUCAAAACCAUACAGGGGACUGUAACAUAAAGACCGAAACAUGGGAAACUCCUUUUAAUUGCCUCUUAUGACAGACAGGAAUACCUCUGGCCUAUUCUUAUCCCUGGACGUGCAGGGCGAGAACCAUCAGUGAUUUCACCAAAGCAAAGAUGACUGAUGUGAAUCUACUACUUACUAUCUAAACAGUUUGGGGAUGACUGCAAGAGCAUAGGAGAUUUAGAUUUCUGUGUGAAUUUCGUAUUGUAAUGGGCAGUAAGGAAGAGGUUUGUACAUCAGCUUGUGGUUGCUUGAAAGGAGCAUGAUGACCUCACCAAAUAUGGUAGACUGUAUCUGCUAGAAAGAACUCGGGGGAGGGGGAAUGGGACUAAGUCUUCAACACCUGUGAUGUUUCUAACGGGUCUCAUACCUGGUACCUCACGCAUUUCAAAUUCUCGUUACAGAGAUAAUGUUAGGAUAACAUAUUUCUUUGUUUAUUUUAGAUGAAAAUAUGGUCUUCCAGAACUUCCAGUUUCUGUUCACUUUAUACACUGAAGUGAAAGAAGUCAUGGGAUACCCCUCAAUAUAUUGUCAGACCACCUUCUGCCUGACAUAGUGCAGCAACUUUAUGUGGCAUGGAUUCAGCAAGUCAUUAGAAGUUCCCUGCAGGAAUAUUGAGCCAUGCUGCCUCUACAUCCACCCAUGAUUCUAAAAGUGUUGCUGGUGCAAGAUUUUGUGCACAAACUGACCUUUUAAUUUUGUACCAUAAAUGCUUGAUGGGAUUCAUGUCAAGUGAUUAAGGUGGCCAAAUCAUUUGCUCAAAUUGUGUAGAAUAUUCUUCAAACCAAUCAUGAACAAUUGUGGUGUGGUGAUAUGGUCAAUUGUCAUCCACAGAAAUGAAGUCCAUAUAUGUUUGCAAAUGGCCUGCAAGUAGCUGAACAUAACCAUUUCGUCAACCAUUGGUUCAGCUGGACCAGAGGAUCCAGUCCAGUCUGUGUAAACUCAGUCCACACCAUUAUGGAGUCACAAACUGCUUGCACAGUGCCUUGUUGAUAACUUGGCUCCAUGGCUUCAUGGGGUCUGCACCACACUAGAAUCCUACCUUCUGCUCUUACCAACUGAAACAGGGACUCAUCUGACCUGGCUAAAGUUUUCCAGUCAUCUAGGGUCCAAUCAGUAUGGUCAUGAGCCUAGGUGAGGCACUGCAGUCUAUAUCAUGCUGUUAGCAAAGGCACUCCUAUCUGUUGUCUCCUGCCAUAGCCCAUUAAACACCAAAUUUAACUAUGCUGUCCUAACGGAUAAUUUCAUCAUGUCCCACAACAAUUUCUGCAGUUAUUUCAUGCAGUUCUGUUUGUCUGUAACCACUGACAAUUCUAUGCCGCAUUUGUCAAGACUGUACACCGAGUUUCUUUAAUUCUUUGUUCUUAUCUUUCUCCCUUACAUUCUUUCUUUCUCUUGCCUACUAACAGCUUAUCUUUGCAAAAGUGAAAAUUAAGAAAUGUAUGCACGGAGUUACUGGAAUCUUCAUUAAUAUGACGACUGCCAUGAGGUCAUAGCAGAGCCUCACCCCUAACACUGUGUGCCUGGUUUGGCCUGGUGGUGAAACAUGUCACUAUGCAUGUGGCAGUCAACAUGUUAAAGUCACAAUAAGGCUUUUUGUCAUUUCUUCCCCUCUUCUCCCCUCUCCACCUCUAAGGAACUACACAUCUCAUAUCAGAAGUUCCUUAACAUUUUUCCUCAUCCUUGCCACUUAUUCUAAUUUUCUUACUAACAUGUAUGGCAGUGAAAUGGAUGAUCUUGAAACCUCCACCACCAAUAAAAAUUUAUUCACAGUGCUAGAAAAGAAAUAAAACAACAGUUUAGAAUGCUUGCACUUCAAGAUGACAAUCACUUGAAAUGAUGUCAUGUAGCUGACCACACAUCUCAUGUCUUAAAGAAGUUAGACUUCACAUCUUGCAAGACUGGCACUGAACUUCAAUUAAUUUCCUCCUGAAUUGGUCCUUCAGUUCCUGGAUGGCGUUUGGUGGGUCCACUGGAAGAUCUGAGAUGCCAGGAAAUGUCCCCACUGUUGGAGAUCAGAUGACCAGUAAAGAUGUUCUGUAGCAUGUUAAUGGAAUCCUGCAAGGUAUGGACUUGUUGGAAGAAUGUGGCUAAAGUUACAGGAAGAUCAGGAAAUUGUCACAUUAGGGUGUGUUUCACUAUGUGAACAUAAUGUUUUGUGUUCAUAGUACUGGCAUUAGCACAGUUGUCUUAGAAAAAAAGCACCCAACAAUUCCAAACAUUAAUAUACUGCACCACACCACCACUUUAUGACUAAAGUUGUGUUUCAUGAAGCAUUUCAGGAUUUUCACAUGAUCAGUCGCUAAAGUUUUCUUUGUCAGCAAAGCCUGACGCCUCAUCAUUCAUGGUCAGAUUGUUGCACAGAUGUGAGUGGUUGUUCAUGAACCCCAAAAACCUCUGGUGAAAGAAUAGUUUUUUCAGGAGCUUAUUUGCAUCAGUUUAUUGCACUAUCUGAAUUUUGUAUAGGUAGUUUUGAAGUUAUUUGUGCUAUAUUCACCACAGACUGCAAUCUGUUGCCUAAGUUUCAGCACAUGCUUUUGUGCAGAAUGCCUGGAAUUUCGGCUGAAGGCUCCUUCCGUUCUUGCAACAUUCUCUAGUGUACACAUCCAUUUUGUACUUCCAUCCCUCUUUUGCACCUCAUCACCCAUUUCCUCAAAGUUCUGUAUUUGUACUUCGAUAGCAUGUGCUGAUGGGACAGGGGCUUGACUUGCGAGUUUGUAAUGAGUACAAAAAAUACACUGCAUAGCUGCUUAGUUGUCAUUUUUGUAAAUCACCUUCAUGGCAACAACACAUAGCUCACUGGCCCAUGAUGGUAUCUCCACUGAACAUAAAUAUCACGGUCAGUGGCAUCACUCCCGUUUUGUGAUUCCUACUUCCAGUGUUGCCAAAUAUCUCAUUUCACUGCCACACCUGUUGUUUGUUAUUUGACCUUUCAUAUCCAAAGCUAAAGAACCCAUGCAUGUGCAUAUGAAAUUGAUAAGUGCAGUAAGUGAUCUUCAGUGGUUUUAGUUGUAGUUUUCAUGUUCAUGUUUCAUUGAUAUUCCUGACGCACACUUAAUUGUGAGAUCAUAAUGCAAUGGACAAUAUGGAGAUAUUACUAUACCAAAAAAAUAAACUUACUUACUUCCCUACAUCGUUACUACUUUAUUUUCCAAGAGGAUUAAUUACUGCCUCAAAUUAAUUUUACAAGCAGUUAGCAAAGUUUGUGUUAAAUGUUAUCAAACCAUGCUUUUUCCAAAGAUUGUAGCCAAUGGAUUAUACUCACAGCAAUGUUGCAACUUAUUCAUACUCUCUGCAUAGGACAUUACAUCACUAUGAAAUAAACACAAGUGACCAUGCUCAACUUACGUUACUCUUCCUUCUUCUCUGACUUUUGAACUAUGAAAGUGAAAUGUGCAUAUGGCAGAUUUUUCAGUAACAAUUUCAUGAAUUAGUGAUAGUUAGAUUUGCAGAACUUUCAUAGCGUUUCAGGGAGUUUGUCAGUUGCUGACUGUGCUGGUAAUCAAAUCCAGGCCCCUUAAAUGACAUUCAGCCACACUGACCACUAAACUAUGAAGGUGGAAGUGAACUAUGAAAUGCAGUUACAAAAAGUUCAUAAUUGAAGAAUCAAAAAUUUCAAUUAUGUGAUUAAAAUAAUUAAAUAGAUAUCACUUUUGAUUAUAGAUCUUCACAGUUAUUAAUUUACGAGGUAUGUCCACAAAGCAAGUUCCAUUUGGUUAUAUAAAACAAACGUGCACAGACACAGAAAAAAUAUUUCUUGUAAAAAUCUACAACUGUUAAACAACUUUUUUAUAUAGCUUCUAAAAUUUUGUAGACACUUGUCAUACCGUGGUACAAGUUUUUGUAUGCCUUUUUCAUAGAAGGUUGCCACCUGUGUAUUCAACCAUGUGGUAACAUGUUCUUUUAGCUUGUCAUUGUCAUUGAAGUGUUGACCACCAAGGACAGAUUUUAGGUGUAAGAAGAGAGCUAAGAGCAAGGUCCAGGUUGUACAGAAGAUGAUCAAAUGCAUCCCAGUGAAAUAUCCAUAAGAGCUGUGAGGUUGGGCAUUAUUGUGGAAAAAAACACCUUUUUCACAGUAAUCCUUGGCACUUGUUCUGUAUUGCACGGCACAAUUUCUUGAUGGUCUCUCAGUAACCAUGUGCAUUGAUUUCUUACCACGGGGCCAAUCAAUCAGCAAAAUGCCUUUUCUGUCCCAAAAAAUGGUGCACAUGACUUUUAGAGGUGUCACAAUUUGCUUAGGCUUAACCUUUGUUGGGGUGAAGUGUGCCUCCAUUCCAUUGAUUGCUGUUUUGUUUACCCAAGUUUCAUCCCCCAUGACUAUUCGAGAAAGAAAACCAUCAAUUUCUUUAUUGUAGUGUGUCAAAAACUGAAGUGCACUGCCCAACCGUUGUUUUUUGUGUUGUUCAGUAAGAAAUUUGGGUACCCAACAUGAGCAAAAUUCCCGAAAUUACAGUUUUUCUGUAACAAUUUCAUGAAUUAGUGAUAGUGAGAUUUGCAGAACUUUCAUAGCAAGGGCACUGCGUGUAAACUUAUGGUUGUGCUUAAUCUCCUCUUCAAUUGUGUGAACCAGUUCAUCAGUAAACACAGAUGGGCGUUCACUCCAUACUUGAUCACGUCCUUCAUUGAACAGUCUGACCCAUCUUCUAACCAUUGAAUCACUCAUAGCAUUUUGUCCAUAAACCUAACAGAUUUGUCAAUCAAUUUCCUUUGGUUUAACUUUCUUUGCAUUUAGAAAAUGAAUCUCAUAUCUGAUUUCACUCGCGAUGGCAUUUUCAAUUACGGGUGACAUUAUAAAGAAGCACUACAAAGCUCAUUACGGCAGUAGCGAUUUGAAAAUGUCUUACAUGUCUUCUCAUUGAGUCAGAGUAACUGCCGUACAUGCUCGGAACUGCGAUCGUAGCGCUGCCACGGAUAGAAAUAGAAACGGAACUUACUUUGUGGACUACCGUCGUAUUAUUCAGUGUGGUCAUUUACAGAUACAGAAUGGAUGAAAUUAUCGUGACUAGACUUUUGAAAGUAUCUUUCUGAUUUACUUGAAACAACUCUGUAUCUUUGUAGUAAUUCUACUUUUUUAAUAAAAAUAAGGAAAUGUGA